rnacentral:sRNA from 1 species
GGACUCUAGCAGGGUGAGUUGUUUUCUGUAAGGUCCCUGUGUAUUAAUUUUAGUUUAUAUUUAUACUUUCAGAAGUGUUAAGUGUAAAAAGGACUUCUUACUUUUAUCCAUGAAAUCACUUUUUGAAGAUUUCAAAAUGUCUGUAUAAUACAUAGAUUUAAAAUAAAAUUUCUAAUAACUUAAGAACUCUAUAAAACCUACGUGAACAAAAUAAUAAAAUCUAUUUAGAGCAUUUCAAAGAAGACACAAAUGAAUGGAAAUUUGUACCAUUUCUGAAAUGGAAGAAUUCAAUAUAAUGAAAAUACCAAGUUAAUCUAUCCAGUUAACUUCAGUGCCAAUCAAAGUUACAAUGCGGGUGGAAGGAAGGGAAGUAUUAUUCUUUGUAAUUUAAAGACUUCAGAUUUCUUUUUUUAACUUUGGCAAGCUUUUCACCUGGGAGAAUAAACAAAUGAAAAAAGCCAAGAGACAUGUGAGGAAGGUGAAUAACGGGUGUGGACCUAGCAGCUUGCAGGUCAUCUGCACAUUCCACUAUAGGAAGUAUUAACUGUGCACGUGAAUCGCCUUGGUAAUCAGAGGGUAUUUCCUAAAUUAACAUUUCUUAUUCAGUGUUUUCCAGGGUGCCUGACGAUUCAGAUUCGCGAGGGUAUUUUCUAAAUUAACAUUUCUUAUUCAGUGUUUUCCAGGGUGCCUGACGAUUCAGAUUCGCACUGUCCUGUGUAUUUUCAUAGUGGUCUUAAUCUACUCAGUAGCCCAAGGUUGCGUGGUGGGCUGCCUGCCUUGGUCCUGGAGCUCCAAGCCCAACAGUUCCCUGGUGGUCCUUUCAUCUGGGGGCCAGCGCACAG